UCUUUGAAAGCUGUAUAGGGGCUUUGAAACUGGCUAGAUAAUUUAGUGGACAACUUAUCAGAAAGGCUAGCCAUUUAUACAACUCAAAGAAAAAAUGUGGAUAGGAUUUUCAUAAAAUUUUCCAUACCCUCCAUGUUCCUAUAUAGACACCAAUUAUCCCUAUUCAAAGCUCCAGGGAUCUUUUUUCAUAUAGCUGGAUGUCUAUCUAAAAGAACGACUCUAGACCAGAUGGAAGUCAUGGACCUGAUGUGAUCCGGAAGAAGAAGAUAAUUUUGUUGGUACAGCAUUUGUAGCCUGUCUGGUAAAUGAACAAGCACUCCUUGGGAGAAGGAAUUAUGAUGACAUUCCUUCAAGUUAUCCCCACUUUGUCCAGCUGACUGCUUUGGAGAGCUAAUGGUCUUCCUUGAUGGAGAACAUUGAAACACAAAACUUCUCCGCCUAUUGAAAUGGUGAUGAUCAUUCCUGCUAUCAGUUGGCAGUGGAAGGCAAAUGAAUGGCAAAGACAAAAGCAUUCCACAGCCAAUGAGUUCAGACAACAAGCAGUGUCCAUCAGGGGAGAUUUAAUUACAAAAAAACAUUAUGCUCAUUUUUGUACUAUAUGUAUUAAGCAUUUAUUUUGUACUUUAAAAAUUUAUUUUGAUGUAUAUGAAGACAAAGUAUGGCUCUCUGGCUCCUGGUAGGUUAGCAGUGUUCUUGAUGCAUCCUCUGCCUCAUAGUAUCAAAACUGGUCUGGACUUUCACCCAUCCCUAUUUAUUCAAAUUGAAUUUCUUUCAGAUUCAAUUCAGAAAGCUACUCAGGCAUGCACUCUGCAGUGAAUGGGAUCACCUGCUGAUACUGUGGAGAAGGGAGUAGCUUGCUCAAAAGGACACUGUGAUGCAGCGGUGGAAAGCUCAGAAAAGUGCCAGGUUUAAAAGAGGGUAACUGCCCGGCUCAUUGAAGCCACUGGGCCACAUUUGAAAGUGGAGCUAGCUAUUGGGACUAAUAGGUCAGGGACCUGAUUAUGGAAGUAGGUGGCUGACCUGGCAAGAUUAAUUUGCCACGGGUGAACAGAAUGAGUCAUUGAGUGAGUCAGUUAAAGCUGUGUUGGGGAGGUUAGGAAGGGCAUUCGCAUAUGCAGAAAAUCAUCUGCCCUAUUGGAUGUUACUCAACUUGUGAAGCUCUUGAUGUUGGCCCAUCAAUUAUAAUAACUUAAAACAGGCAACAAAAGGUCCUUUUCUGAAUUCAAGGGACUAUAUUCAUAUUAACAUCCCAGCACUUAAUUAUGUUUUAUAUUAAGUGAUAAAUUUAAAAUUGGAAGUAUUAACAGAAACUGGGAAUUGCUAAGGAUGUCCUACUGAAUGCCCCUAAAAGCCAUGAUUCCACAUGCACGCACAAAAGUUACUGGUCAAAAAAGGUCUUAGUUAAUAGGAUAUGUGAGGGCAGCACUAAAUCAUAAAAAGUAAAUAUAUAAACAUGGAAAAAUGAAGAACUUAGAAAUAAAUGCAAGUUGAAAAUGUAAGUGACUUAUAAGGGUAGUUGAAGAAAACAAUGAAAUAUCAAUGGGUUAAAGACAAAUAAAGCCUUUUAAAAACACAUUAGGAACAACAACAAAAUACCCUAGAUUAGGCAUAGGUCCAUUGCUAGUUGCAGAUGGAAAACUGUAUAUAGAGAUGCAAGCAGAAAUAUUUCUGCUCUGAAUUUGGAAUGAAACAGGAGGAAGUAGCUAUCCCAUAUGAUGAUGUGGCUGGAAUAGAAAGUUUACCAUCUGUAACAAAGGAAAGAUGUGAGACAAUGUCUUCUAAAAUUAAACAUUUUCAAAUCAGUACACAAGAGUCAUAAAGGAACUAGCUGAGGAGCUCUCUGAA